GACGAACGCUGGCGGCGUGCUUAACACAUGCCAGUCGAACGGAAAGGCCCUGCUUUUGUGGGGUGCUCGAGUGGCGAACGGGUGAGUAACACGUGAGUAACCUGCCCUUGACUUUGGGAUAACUUCAGGAAACUGGGGCUAAUACCGGAUAGGAGCUCCUGCUGCAUGGUGGGGGUUGGAAAGUUUCGGCGGUUGGGGAUGGACUCGCGGCUUAUCAGUUUGUUGGUGGGGUAGUGGCUUACCCAGGCUUUGACGGGUAGCCGGCCUGGGAGGGAGACCGGCCACAUUGGGACUGAGAAGCGGCCCAGACUCCUACGGGAGGCAGCAGUGGGGAAUAUUGCACAAUGGGCGGAAGCCUGAUGCAGCAACGCCGCGUGCGGGAUGACGGCCUUCGGGUUGUAAACCGCUUUCGCCUGUGACGAAGCGUGAGUGACGGUAAUGGGUAAAGAAGCACCGGCUAACUACGUG
rnacentral:rRNA from 1 species